rnacentral:rRNA from 1 species
UCUCAACGAGAGACUCGGUGAAAUUAUAGUACCUGUGAAGAUGCAGGUUACCCGCGACAGGACGGAAAGACCCCGUGGAGCUUUACUGCAGCCUGAUAUUGAAUGUUGGUACAGCUUGUACAGGAUAGGUAGGAGCCUUGGAAACCGGAGCGCCAGCUUCGGUGGAGGCAUCGGUGGGAUACUACCCUGGCUGUAUUGACCUUCUAACCCGCCGCCCUUAUCGGGCGGGGAGACAGUGUCAGGUGGGCAGUUUGACUGGGGCGGUCGCCUCCUAAAAGGUAACGGAGGCGCCCAAAGGUUCCCUCAGAAUGGUUGGAAAUCAUUCGCAGAGUGUAAAGGCACA